GUGAUACGACAGGGGAGCGCUCACCGGCGCUGAGAGUGCGGACCGCCGCAGACCCUCGAACCUGACCCGGUUAGCACCGGUGGAGGAAGUCGGGAAUCUCGUUCC
rnacentral:ncRNA from 2 species